AGGAACAGGUCAUAUCUUCCUUAUUCUGCCUCCACCCGCCAGCCCUUCAUCCUUAAAAACUGGCACAAUCCAGCCCCAUUCUCCAAUCCCGUUUAAGAAAACUUUUAAAUGCAAAUACAGAUGGGAUAUCCACAGAACUGGAGGUGACUGUUCAUCCGUUCUGCCCGAGGAUGUGACUUUGCAGCAGGGCAAGGAUCCUGGAACAGAGAUUCUCAGAGAGAAAAUAAAAUGUAGACGAACAUUUUCUUUAGUGACGGAAUUCCGUGCCCGUGGGGUUUUCCUAGGAGCUCACAGACACUCAUGAUGGAAGCUCUUAUCAAGAUGACUUGGGACAGAAUCCCUCUGAAAAUUAUUGGGAAAAGAAUUGGAAAUCUUGUGUCUAAGCUAGAAUGAAAGGGCCCAGCUGGGUCCUCCACCUAUGACAUCACAGAUGGGUGAGGCCCUGCGACUGGGUCCCAGAUAGUUCCUCUCGUUCCUGGGUCUCAGCCCAGCACCACCAGCCAAGGGUGAACAUGAGGCUCUGUGGACAUUCAGAUUGUUAAUUCAAAUGAUUUACUCAGGAAAGGAGCUGUGACCUAGGGCCUGACUUCUCCAGUGAUCAAUUCCCCAUCAUAUUUUCUGCAGGACUCAGAACAAGAAUAGCCCCAGCUGUCACGGUCUGCUAAGACUCUCCUCCUAGAGAGUGGUGGGGGCUGCAUGGGGAGUCAGAGGAACUCAGACCCUUACCUAGAGGCCCCAGGAGCUCCCCGGGCUGCAGGGUCUACUCUGGGAAGGCCCUUUCCUGGAAGGAACACAUGAACUCCAUGUGCCAGUGACUAGUGGUGGCCGGCAGGUGCCCAUCGGGGUUGCUUUUUGGAAAGAGAGCUGCUCCCCUUAACCACGGGACAGCUGGAGCUUGAAGGAUAGCUGCCCUGAAGCUGUGCAGAGAGAAGUUGUCCCAAAAGAAGGUGGCCUCCUUGCAACCCAACAUGACUCAGGACGAGCAAUGGGGUCAGCUGAAAGGUUUUUAGAAAUGCAAAAUCCGAGGUUUCACCCCAGAACUUCCCGGAAUCAGAAUCUGCAUUUUGAUAAGAUCCCAGGAGCACCCCCACCCCUGCUCAGUGUAUACCUGUAAGUCUGGGAAUCCUUGCCCUGAAGGAGGUACUGCUGCCCUCUCCUUGGCCAGGGCUGGGUUGCCUGGGAAUUUCAUUUGCCUUUUCAUUUCUUCAGUUCUCUGUCCAGUCUUUACAAAAAUUAGUGCCAUUUUUCUAUUUUAAACCAAUGUCACCUUGAUCAAAAGUUCACCCUGUACUGCCCUGGAUUCUGAGGGCAGCGUGGGAGGAGGCGGUGAAGGCAUCUAUAUUUUCCCUCCACUCAGAUAUUACAAGCACCUCAGGUGUCUGAAAUAUCUCAGCUCCCCCUGUGCAAAUUGCAGGCACUGAGCCGCAUAAGCCGGCGCGGAGCUGGCCCUUCAUCCCGGCAGGCGCUCAGCCUGCAGACACAGGGAGCUUUCCAGACAACGGGAGAGGCAGCCACUCUUUGUCCUUGGAGACGAGGGUGGGUCUGGGCUGCUGCCCCCUGUCAGCCCAGCUCUCCUCCUGCCCGAUCUAGGACCAAGGGCAGGGCACCCAGAGGAUAAUGAGUAAGUAGGCUGGACUGUCUGGGGUGGGGCAGCUGAGGAUUGCACCCAGACAGACAGGAACAGCUUUUCUUUCUAGAAGGAGGGCCAGGGGCAGUUUUGCAGCAGACUUCAGGGACUUCACCCUUUCAAUCCCCACAGCCAGGGACAGACUCAAUCUCAAUGCUUGCCACCCUGGAGGCACCCCUGUUUUAUCAAUACCACCUGCCUGCUUCCCAUAAAGCCAGCCCCGUUGUCCUCACCAGUAAGCAUGUCCUGUGAGGGGCACGUGCCUGGCCACUGGUGUCUGCUUCCCAGAGGCCAUGCCCUUUGACUGAGUAUCCACGGCCUUGGGAGACUCAGUCAUCAGUUUGAAUUCCAGGAAAAAAAAAAAGUGAGAGCACACACUGCUGUGUGCUCUCAAAGAAGUUGUUCAACCCCUCUGAGGCUUUGCUGUGCCCCUCCUACUUCACUUGUGUUAAAAAUAGAAGAGGAAGAAUGAUAAAAGAGUACCUGUAAUUUGCUGGGGAGAACUGACUGAGAUAACAUUUAGAAUAUGUGCAGCAGAGAGUCCUUUAACGUAUGUGUGAAAGGGAGUGUUGCCCUCAGUAUCUUCCUUUUGCAUCCUUUCUCCUGUUCCCCAGGCUCCUAUUGUAUUGCCCCUCCCUUCAUUCCUUAUUCUUCUACAAAUAACUCUCUGAACCUCAAACUGCACUUCAUUGUUAAUAAUUGCCUGAAUGCCCUCCUUGGAAACCCUUUGCUAGAUUACAACCAAAAAUGACGUCCUCCAUUAUUUUUGCAUUUUAAUAAAUCAAAGUUAAAGCACCA
rnacentral:lncRNA from 1 species